rnacentral:rRNA from 1 species
AAGUCGUAACAAGGUUUCCGUAGGUGAACCUGCGGAAGGAUCAUUACUGAACGAAAUGGGUGGCAAGGCUGUCGCUGGCUUAAAUGAGCAUGUGCACGUCUUUUUGUCGCUUACUUCAUUCUCUCUUCCACCUGUGCACUCUUUGUAGACACUUGGGAUGUGAGAGAGAGAGGGGUUGGCAUUGAUUUGUCGGACUUCUCUUGAUAUUGAAAAUCUGGGUGUUUAUGUAUUUUUUGACAUACACGGUUGAAUGUCUAUAGAAUGAAAUUAUGGGCUCUUGUCAGCCUUUAAAUGAUAAAACACAACUUUCAACAACGGAUCUCUUGGCUCUCGCAUCGAUGAAGAACGCAGCGAAAUGCGAUAAGUAAUGUGAAUUGCAGAAUUCAGUGAAUCAUCGAAUCUUUGAACGCAUCUUGCGCUCCUUGGUAUUCCGAGGAGCAUGCCUGUUUGAGUGUCAUUAAAUAUCUCAAAACUCUUGUGCUUUUGUUGGCAUAGGACUUUUGGACAUUGGGAGUUGCCGGCUGCUGGUAAAGUAGUGGGCUCUUCUGAAAAGCAUUAGUUGAGGAGCUUUGCACUCUUAUUGGUGUGAUAAACUAUCUAUGCCAAGAGAUGCUUCAUGAUCCUCUGCCGUCUAACUGUCUUUAUAAGACAA